rnacentral:misc_RNA from 1 species
UACGGAGGGUGCAAGCGUUACUCGGAAUUACUGGGCGUAAAGCGCGCGUAGGCGGUUUGAUAAGUCAGAUGUGAAAGCCCCGGGCUUAACCUGGGAAUUGCACCUGAUACUGUCAGGCUAGAGUACGAGAGAGGGGGGUAGAAUUCCUAGUGUAGCGGUGAAAUGCGUAGACAUUAGGAGGAAUACCAGUGGCGAAGGCGGCCCCCUGGCUCGAUACUGACGCUGAGGUGCGAAAGCGUGGGGAGCAAACAGG